CUUAGGACAAGGCACAAUAUAUAAGGCAACAACCACAGUAUUAUAUCAAAAUCACAGUAACCCAAAAUAGUAAAAUGAUUCCAAAUAAUUCAGUUUAAACUAUUAGAAUUCAAAUAAACAUAAAAUCAGCUUAUACUAUAUAGUAUAGUAUUAUAAUUACUAUCUAUAGGUUCCUUUACCAGUAAAUUCAUGCAUUCUGUGCAUAAAGGUGUGGUUACCAAAAAUAAUCUAAUGCACUUUUAUUCAAAUUAAGGGAAUGUCUCACCAUAGUCAGCUAGUCAGUAUUUCUACUGACCUGGCUCUUGAAUUGGGGUAGAAAUGAAGUGGAUCGGUGAGGUCCAUUCCAGCCAAUCAUGGCGUUCGUGCUCGUGCACAGGAGGUGGGAGGCUAUAAAGAGGGCAAUGGGAGCGCAAAACAUGGAAACUCUAGUGCACGUCAAUGCUACAGAGCGGAGACGGGGUGACAGCAGACAAAUAGCCUAAGAGGAAACGGACAGAGGAAUAUACGUUUAAAAAGAAAGGCUACCAUCAGGCUAGGGGGAACACCUGCGUCAACACUGGUGUGGCUUUCCAGUGGUGGAGAGACCUGCGGGAGCUGAGAGGCCUGAAAACACAUGCAGGAGGUUGCUCUGUUUCUCCUUGAUAGGGUCACCUGUGCCAGUGUGCGUGAUACUGACAGACACAUAAGAAUGCCUGCAGAUCCAUUUUAGAAGAUCUGUGCCAGAGACCCGAGGAAAAAGAUGAGUCUGAGGUUUUAAGGUCCACAAAGCAAGUAAGUGGCCCUCUUUUUCUUCUGUUCCUUUGUUAAAAGGUCAAGAAUGUACAUGCAUGCCCAAAACCUAAAAGAAGUAUUAUUAUUCUAGGCAUGUUGUGGACUUUCCCCCCUAAUAUCUGAGAUUCUUUGGCCCUACAUGGUUUGUUUCCAUGAUCCAGCUAUGGCAGACUGCAUUCACUGUUUGGAUGGCAAAGAUAUAGCUAUUUUUGCACCGUUUAUGCCUUUUUAUGUAGUGUGCAAGAUGUGACUGACUGACUGAUCUGAUUUGCAUAAAUAACUAAAUGUCCCCAGUGAGACAUACCAAAUAUACCGCUUUUGAUUUUUCAGCGUGAGUCAUCGUGUAUCUUAUAAGGAAUAACACAGCUGGGUUUAUUUUCUUUAUUAUACUUAGAUACUCUUACUGAUGUAAUAUAUUCAAUGACAGACAUAAUUAGUGGCAUAUUUGUUGAGGAUAAACUGAAUACUUCCUCCUCCAUUCCCUGUCAAAAAAAGAGGCAAAACCCAGGGCAAAAAAUAUCCAAUAUGUAUUUGCUGUACCGCUGGCUGCUACUUGUUAAAGGUGAUUGCAGACUAAAAUCUCAUCCUUGGAUUUUGACACGUGAUUUAACUGUCCAUUAUGAGUCCAGUAAUGUUAUAAGGGUGUGAUGCUGAAAUUGCUGAAAUAAGCUUUUUUAAAAAGCUUAAGUGAGAUACUGCAUGUUUGUUUUGGUCCGAAGUCUCCUGUUAUCCUCUAUUUCAGCCCACUUAAAUAUCACCUUUAUUUACUUUAGUUUAGCAUGUUAAUGUCACCUUGCACUGCUGCUGUGAAUGAGGACAUGCAUCAGGAGAUGACAAGACUACCUGAGAUUGAACUUGACCUGUAAGAUAGGUGUUUAUUUUUUACCAUAUGCUGUACAUGCUUGCCAGGAAGUUAGCAAAUGAGAGAAAAAAAAGAAAGUAAAAACACAAACCAGAGAGCAGAAUUGGGUUAGUUAAUUUCCAUCCAAAACAUUUUUAUUGUCCUCCAAACUGAAAGGGUUACCCUGUGAUUUGGCUUGUUCACUGAGCCAAAAACAUACAUUGCAUUUCUUCAGGUAGCAGUGGAGGCAUACAAAGAUCUUUUUUUUGACUGAGAGAAACUAAUGGAAAGAGCAAUACAGGAUUCUCUCCUUCAAGUCACAUGAUGAGUAAUCUUUGCAUUCAUGAGUAAUGGAGAGAAGAUUAAUUUCAGAUCACGGGAAGCUUGAGAAAGUAGCAUCUGGUCUUCCAUAAAGGAGAAAGGGGGGGGGGGGGGUGAGAAACAACCGUAUGAA